rnacentral:rRNA from 1 species
AUUGAACGCUGGCGGCAGGCCUAACACAUGCAAGUCGAACGAGUGGCGGACGGGUGAGUAAUGUCUGGGAAACUGCCUGAUGGAGGGGGAUAACUACUGGAAACGGUAGCUAAUACCGCAUACCAUCGGAUGUGCCCAGAUGGGAUUAGCUAGUAGGUGGGGUAACGGCUCACCAAGGCGACGAUCCCUAGCUGGUCUGAGAGGAUGACCAGCAACACUGGAACUGAGACAAGGUCCAGACUCCUCAGGGAGCCACAAUGGGGGAAUAUUGCAAAAGGGGCGAAAGCCUGAUGCAGACCUGCCGCUGGUAUGUAGAAGGCCUCCGGGUUGUAAAGUACUUUCAGCGGGGAGGCGUUACCCGAAGAAGAAGCACCGGCUAACUCCGUGCCAGCAGCCGCGGUAAUAC